rnacentral:rRNA from 1 species
UACGAAGGGGGCUAGCGUUGCUCGGAAUCACUGGGCGUAAAGCGCACGUAGGCGGCUUUUUAAGUCAGGGGUGAAAUCCUGGAGCUCAACUCCAGAACUGCCUUUGAUACUGAGAAGCUUGAGUCCGGGAGAGGUGAGUGGAACUGCGAGUGUAGAGGUGAAAUUCGUAGAUAUUCGCAAGAACACCAGUGGCGAAGGCGGCUCACUGGCCCGGUACUGACGCUGAGGUGCGAAAGCGUGGGGAGCGAACGAGG